AAAAGCGCGAUGCUUUUGCUAUUAUUUUUUAUGAUUCAAUGACUCGUUUAUUGGACAUGCUGAUUGAAUUUAAAAGCGGGAGGGGAAACCCAACCACCGGCCCCUCGGCCAAGUGAAUCCAUUCGCCCUGACAGUUUGCUGGCAGAGGAAGCGAAAAGCUGCGCGCAGCGCGUUUGGGGUGGCGAGAGGAGUUUUUAUUUCGCCCUUCUGCAAUAAGCACCAAGUCCACGUGUCACUUUUUUCAGCGUCUCCUCUUCCUGUGUGGGGAUUUCUGCAGGAAGUCUCGCCGCAGAAGGUCGAGGCUGCUCGGGGGCGAUGCUUGCAAAAGGAGGAGCCCGGGAGAGACGCGUUUGCAGACAGAUGCAGAAGUCAGAAAAGGCCAAGGUCUCGCCGGAGGCGGAGAUAUUUCAAGAAUCAGGAAAUCUCUGGAGCAUUUGCUAUGGUGCAUCGUAACAAGUUCAAUAAGAAAAUAAAAUGGUGUAAUAAUUUAGAUGGAAGCCAGAAACAGAUGGAAGCGAGCAACACUACGGAACAUAUUCCUCAUAAACACCACAGGUUGCGUCCAACGCUGCGUUGCAAGCUGAAUGUAUUUUUGUUUGUGAAGCAGAACUUCCUCCUUCCCCCUGCAGCAUGCUGCACUGCCCUCAAGUUCUGUUCCAGAGCAAUGGAAAAAAGUAGGUCUAUAACCCAAUUAAAUAUGUCUUAAGACUAUAAAACUCAUACAAUUAAAUCAAUUAAAUUUUCAUAUAAGUAAAAAAAAGUUAUCAUCACCAGCCAUGCACACGUGUUUGCCUUUUAAGAUAGUGCUCAUCAUACAUUUUAGUAUUUGCUUUUUUAAAAAAUGAAAUUUACUCUAAUUAUCACUUUUUAGGUCAUAAAAAUAUCACUUGAUUAAACUAAACAUUGCCACACACAAAAUCAUUAUGCAAAUCACCACAACUUGAUAUAUAAAGGUCUCAGAAAUGAAAAUCUUCUUGAUAUGAAAUUCGAACCUGGUUGAGGAAUAUUAAUAUUAUUUCAAGGGUACACACAACCCUGCCUCCUCUACAGUGAUGGUUAGCAGUUACUAAGUGU